AGCGCGGGAGAGUUCGGUAAUCGAUCACGAUAUACCGGCGCCGAAGGAGCAACGACCCCGGAAUCUCUCAGGCCACCGAACCGCC
rnacentral:ncRNA from 1 species